CUCUCCAUGCCAAUAAAUUUCUUUCUCCUUAUAUGUAUUACAUUUUGAGAAGAUUUUUUGUUAAAAAUCAGUUGAAAAAUUGAUUUAUUAUAAAAAAAUAUGGAAAGGAGUGUCUUAUAUUUUUUUGAUAUAUUUUGAGAUGUAGAAUUAUGAAAGGAUGCGAAAUCCUGUAAGAGUCCAGGAUCACUAGGACUCUUCGUCCCACCUCCUUACACAUCUAUAAAAGGGGCUUUUGUGAUUUUUUUUAUGUG
rnacentral:lncRNA from 1 species